ensembl:lncRNA
AGAUAAUCAGAAGCUCCCAGAUAAGGAAAGUUUCCCUAAAUUCUGAAGACCAACAUAGGGAUUACCAACGUUUAAUGAGGCCAGCAGAGGAAAGGAGCCUAAGACAAAACAGUGUCAGAAGAAGAGAAUGGAUCAUCUCUUACUUAAUAAGUACAAGGGGGCAGGGGGAAAUCCAGUACAGGAUAUUAUUUUUAAUUUUCAGGGCAUGUGGAGUUGGGACAACUAGCCCACCAAGUAAACAAUAUCCUUUUUAAAUGGCAGGAGGAGGAAACUUUGGCUCCAGGAGACUGAAAGAUGACAAACGGGCAUGACCUAAACCAAAGCCUGGGCACCCCUGAAGUCCUGAAGCAUCAUGCCUGGCUUUCCCUGUUGUCUUCCAGUAGCAUCCGCCUACUGGUUUCUACUAGCAGGCGCCUACCGCCACUGCCAUAAUACUGAUGACUGUCCGGUGUUGGGACACCAGUUAACCCCACUUUCCUCAGGGAAAGUCUGAGGCCCAGAAGGAAAAGUUUCUUGCAUUAACCUGUGGGCGUUAGGCAUCUCAGUCCUGGUGCCUUGCAGCUCUCAAGCUCAGCCCCACGGUCACUGGCAGGUUCCAUGCCUUGGGCAGGAUGCUGGGCCCAGCCAGGACAGCUGGAGGAAAUGGUGGAAGCAGAGAGACUCCUGGCACAGCACCUGCCUGCAGGUGAAGGCAGGAAGAUCCUGGGAAGACAGCUUCCCUGUGUCAUUGAGGUUUUACUAUCACCACUUUUCCAGAAGAGAAAGAUAUAUGGGGAGAGGAGGUGAGCUGCUCGAGGCCACACAUCAGGAAGCAAGCUGGCACCACAAGCCAGGCCCCCUGACCCUAUCCAGUCACUGGGCCAGUCAACCCCCGUUCCUUUGGCCCCACAGUUGGCCCUGAGUUCCCUCUUUUCUCAGGACUCCUUGAUUUUGUUCAGUGAUAAACGACAUGUCACCCAGUUUCCCUGAGUCCACGUCUCAUGGAGAAGCAUGAGAAAAGGAGAAUAAGGAGGCCAUUGAAGCAGUCCAGUUGAGAAUUCAUUCACUUAUUCAUUCAGUAAAUAG